rnacentral:rRNA from 1 species
UACAGAGGUCUCAAGCGUUGUUCGGAUUCAUUGGGCGUAAAGGGUGCGUAGGUGGUGCUGUAAGUCAGGUGUGAAAUCCCGGGGCUCAACCCCGGAACUGCACUUGAUACUGCAGUGCUCGAGGACUGGAGAGGAGAUCGGAAUUCAUGGUGUAGCAGUGAAAUGCGUAGAUAUCAUGAGGAAGACCAGUGGCGAAGGCGAAUCUCUGGACAGUUACUGACACUGAGGCACGAAGGCCAGGGGAGCAAACGGG